rnacentral:rRNA from 1 species
AGUGAACGCUGGCGGUAGACCUAACACAUGCAAGUCGAACGGCAGCACAGUAAGAGCUUGCUCUUACGGGUAGCGAGUGGCGGACGGGUGAGGAAUACAUCGGAAUCUACUUUUUCGUGGGGGAUAACGUAGGGAAACUUACGCUAAUACCGCAUACGACCUACGGGUGAAAGCAGGGGAUCUUCGGACCUUGCGCGAUUGAAUGAGCCGAUGUCGGAUUAGCUAGUUGGCGGGGUAAAGGCCCACCAAGGCGACGAUCCGUAGCUGGUCUGAGAGGAUGAUCAGCCACACUGGAACUGAGACACGGUCCAGACUCCUACGGGAGGCAGCAGUGGGGAAUAUUGGACAAUGGGCGCAAGCCUGAUCCAGCCAUACCGCGUGGGUGAAGAAGGCCUUCGGGUUGUAAAGCCCUUUUGUUGGGAAAGAAAAGCAGCAGGUUAAUACCCCGCUGUUCUGACGGUACCCAAAGAAUAAGCACCGGCUAACUUCGUG